rnacentral:rRNA from 1 species
GACGAACGCUGGCGGCGUGCUUAACACAUGCAAGUCGAGCGGUAAGGCCCUUUCGGGGGUACGACGAGCGGCGAACGGGUGAGUAACACGUGGGUGACCUGCCCUUAGCUCUGGGAUAAGCCUGGGAAACUGGGUCUAAUACCGGAUAUGACUCCAUGACGCAUGUUGUGGGGUGGGAAAGCCUUGUGCGGCUAGGGAUGGGCCCGCGGCCUAUCAGCUUGUUGGUGGGGUGAUGGCCUACCAAGGCGACGACGGGUAGCCGGCCUGAGAGGGCGACCGGCCGCACUGGGA